rnacentral:rRNA from 1 species
UACGGAGGGGACUAGCGUUGUUCGGAAUUACUGGGCGUAAAGCGCACGUAGGCGGAUUUGUAAGUCAGGGGUGAAAUCCCGGGGCUCAACCUCGGAACUGCCUUUGAUACUGCAAAUCUCGAGUCCAGAAGAGGUGAGUGGAAUUCCUAGUGUAGAGGUGAAAUUCGUAGAUAUUAGGAAGAACACCAGUGGCGAAGGCGGCUCACUGGUCCGGUACUGACGCUGAGGUGCGAAAGCGUGGAGAGCAAACAGG